rnacentral:rRNA from 1 species
UACGUAGGGGGCUAGCGUUGUCCGGAAUCAUUGGGCGUAAAGCGCGUGUAGGCGGCCCGGUAAAUCCGCUGUGAAAGUCGGGGGCUCAACCCUCGGAAGCCGGUGGAUACUGUCGGGCUCGAGUACGGAAGAGGCGAGUGGAAUUCCUGGUGUAGCGGUGAAAUGCGCAGAUAUCAGGAGGAACACCGAUUGCGAAGGCAGCUCGCUGGGACGUAACUGACGCUGAGACGCGAAAGCGUGGGGAGCAAACAGG